rnacentral:rRNA from 1 species
CAAUAGCGUAUAUUAAAGUUGUUGCAGUUAAAAAGCUCGUAGUUGGAUUUGUGGCGUACGGUGUGUUCCGGGCACUUGUUGUCUGAGUAACCUGCUGUUGCCAUCCUUGGGUGGAACCUGUGUGGCAUUAGGUUGUCGUGCAGGGGAUGCCCAUCAUUUACUGUGAAAAAAUUAGAGUGUUCAAAGCAGGCUUAUGCCGUUGAAUAUAUUAGCAUGGAAUAAUGAGAUAGGACUUUUUUGCUAUUUUAUUGGUUUGCGCAAAGAGGUAAUGAUUAAUAGGGACAGUUGGGGGUAUUCGUAUUCCAUUGUCAGAGGUGAAAUUCUUGGAUUUUUGGAAGACGAACUACUGCGAAAGCAUUUACCAAGGAUGUUUUCAUUAA